GGGCAUUCAGAAGGUUUGCAGUCUGGGCUACGUACAGAGAACCUAGUUUCUCAUCAAUUUGCCCAGGGGAAAGUCCCCGGACCCGUGGCAGAAAGUGCUCUGGAUUAAUCCAGUGUUGACUUGUGCAGCUCCAUCUGUAGCUGAGACGUUCAUGUGAACAGAGCUUGGAGGUCGCAUGUUGACUUUGUCAGCGUUGAUAGAAAUGCAAACACUCUGCAAGUUACGUUUCAACAGAACGGGGCUCAUUCUCCGAAUGCA
rnacentral:RNase_MRP_RNA from 1 species